rnacentral:misc_RNA from 1 species
UAUGAAGAACGCAGCGAAAUGCGAUACGUAAUGUGAAUUGCAGAUUUCAGUGAAUCAUCGAAUCUUUGAACGCACAUUGCGCCCGCUAGUAUUCUGGCGGGCAUGCCUGUUCGAGCGUCAUUUCAACCAUCAAGCCCUAGGCUUGCGUUGGAGCCCUGCGGCUGCCGCAGGCUCCCAAAUCCAGUGGCGGGCUCGUGGUCGUACCGAGUGCAGUAAACAUCCUCGCUCAGGGAACGUGACGGGUUCUUGCCGUGAAACCCCCCACAUAUCAAGGUUGACCUCGGAUCAGGUAGGAAUACCCGCUGAACUUAAGCAUAUCAAUAAGCGGAGGA